rnacentral:rRNA from 1 species
UACAGAGGUGGCAAGCGUUGUUCGGAAUUACUGGGCGUAAAGGGCGCGUAGGCGGUCUUGUAAGUCCUGUGUGAAAUCCCCCGGCUCAACUGGGGAACUGCACAGGAAACUAGCGGGCUUGAGUUCGGGAGAGGGAAGCGGAAUUCCGGGUGUAGCGGUGAAAUGCGUAGAUAUCCGGAGGAACACCGGUGGCGAAGGCGGCUUCCUGGACCGACACUGACGCUGAGGCGCGAAAGCGUGGGUAGCAAACAGG